UCGUUCUACUUUUUUCCAACAAAACACGUCAUCUUUUCCGCUUUAGAAGUUAACAAUCUUAAUUCUUUUGUUAUUCGAUAAAUUUUAUUUCAAAGUGAGUGCUGUCGUCAAGAUAUAGUUGUGGAAGCAGCGCUUCGUGCCCGUAAUAAAAAGUCGAAGCUCCAAGAAUUAUGACCGAUAAUUGGAACUGGAUUCAUCAGUUCAUUUUAUUUUCGAAGGAAAUGAUGUAAUGGAGCAAUAUCUUGUGGUCAUUGGUGGAAUGGUCCAGGCAGAUAUUUUUUCCGCCGCGAAAUGGAGGAAGCUGAUGCACAGCUAUGGGAAACAGCUGAGCGAAAAGUUCCAUUUUGAACGGGA